CAUGCAAGUCGAACGCGAACGUUUCCUUCGGGGAACUAGUAGAGUGGCGCACGGGUGAGUAACGCGUAAGUAAUCUACCCUCGCAUUCGGGAUAACCCACCGAAAGGUGUGCUAAUACCGGAUACGUCUCAUUUAAUAUCUUUUGAUGAGAGAAAGGUGGCCUCUUGAAUCAAAGCUACUGUGCGGGGAGGAGCUUGCGUACCAUUAGCUAGUUGGUAGGGUAACGGCCUACCAAGGCGAUGAUGGUUAGCGGGUCUGAGAGGAUGAUCCGCCACACUGGAACUGGAACACGGACCAGACUCCUACGGGAGGCAGCAGUGAGGAAUAUUGCGCAAUGGGGGCAACCCUGACGCAGCGACGCCGCGUGGAUGAUGAAGGCCUUCGGGUUGUAAAAUCCUGUCAGAUGGGAAGAAGUGUGUAUCACCCAAUACGUGAUACAUUUGACGGUACCAUCAAAGGAAGCACCGGCUAACUCCGUGCCAGCAGCCGCGGUAAUACGGAGGGUGCAAGCGUUGUUCGGAAUUACUGGGCGUAAAGCGCGCGUAGGCGGCUAGAUAAGUCAGAUGUGAAAGCCCGCGGCUCAACCGUGGAAGAGCAUUUGAAACUGUCUAGCUUGAGUACUGGAGGGGGUAGUGGAAUUCCCGGUGUAGAGGUGAAAUUCGUAGAUAUCGGGAGGA
rnacentral:rRNA from 1 species